AGGGGCUUCCCUUCUCGUAUCUCAGAUCUUUCCCAAGCAGCUUCAUCGCUCUCUUUCCAGCCUCUUUUUGAAAAUGGCGACCCAGAUGAGUAAGAAGAGAAAGUUCGUAGCCGAUGGAGUGUUUUUUGCCGAGCUAAACGAGGUUUUGACCCGAGAGUUGGCCGAGGAUGGGUACUCCGGUGUCGAGGUUAGAGUCACUCCUAUGCGCACUGAGAUCAUCAUCCGAGCCACCCGCACCCAAAACGUUCUCGGUGAAAAGGGUAGGAGGAUUAGGGAACUCACCUCGGUUGUGCAGAAGCGGUUCAAGUUUCCGGAGAAUAGUGUUGAGCUGUAUGCCGAGAAAGUUAACAAUAGAGGGCUUUGUGCCAUUGCUCAAGCUGAGUCACUUCGUUAUAAGCUACUUGGUGGCCUUGCUGUUAGGAGGGCAUGCUAUGGUGUAUUGAGAUUCGUCAUGGAAAGUGGAGCCAAGGGUUGCGAGG
rnacentral:misc_RNA from 1 species